CACAUGCCUUGCCUGGUAUCAUUUUUUUUCAGCACAACCUCACCUGUGCGAAUUUACAGUUAUUUUAUCAUGUUGACAUACUGAAUUUACACAAUGGACCCAAAUUCACACACAAAACAUAAAAUCCGAGUGGAAAAAAGUAACAUUUUUACUGUGAAAACCACAAAUAUGUGUGAUGAACUGUUUUUAAAACUUAAACUUCAAAUAAAAAUUGUAAACUUCAAAACAUAUGCAAAUUUUUAAUGAAGAACAUAGUGAUUUACCUCUAUUUACAUCAAAAUGCAGGCAAUGGCCCAGGCGUUCUUUGUAAAAUUAUUUACAAAACACUGUAUAGUCUCACAAAUGUCACUUUUUAUUUAUGCCACUACAAAAAAACAUGAUGUAAAUGAUGCAUGAUGUAAAACAUGAUGUAAAAAACUUGUGUAGAUCCUCCUCUAUGUCAGUCCAUGUGUAAUUUUUCCAUAAUUCUUUGUUUUUUGCAGCAUUUUUGUUAGUGUAACUGCAGAUUGUGCUGACAGUGUCUAUGGCACACAAAAAAAAAAAAAUUAAAAUGCCUCAACAUGAACCCCUGGUGGUCUCUGAGGGUGAAACCUGCUAACUGCUGCAGCUCUGUCAGCUUCAGUCUCCCAUGCAGAGCUCUGAGCGCAUGUGUGGCUCUGCACCCUUAGCAGCGUUGCUAACUCCUCAGUAAGGAAAGCCUGCUUCAUGUCAGAGUCUCUAAACUCCAGAAGAAGUCGAUAAAAGUCCCUUUCUUUCUAAAAAAAAGUCGUUAGGGGGUCUGAAAAGUCAUUGAAUCUAACAACAAAGUCGCUAGGUUUGCAACUACGUGUCCCAGACUGCAUCCCUGCUGAGAGUCCCUCCCUCGCUUCUCAUGUUGCAGGAAGAACGUAAGCACCCGCCCCUUGUCAAUCAGUCACCAUAUAAUUUUGGAUUGGUUGUUGUGGUGAAGUUUUCCACCAAUAGGAGAGAUGUUGUGGUGUGUUUUUUUUUUUCUUUUGGCAAGCCUUUUCCGCCUGUAAGACCUGUCGCUAAUGUCUGCAUGCUAUGUUUUCCUGUCUCAUACAGCGCGAUCGAGCGCCGAACGUGAUCAAAAUAAGCAGAAAACAAGUAUCGCGGACAUAAUUUAUCAUAACUCUGGUUUUAUUUGGCCUAUCAACACAAUUUAAAAACUGGUAUAUAGGUUGAGGUCCUCACUUUUGAGAUAAGUUGAAACGGAGAGUCAACGAGGCUCCGUCUUGCAGCUACAUCCGGUUAAAUAUGUCAUGUGACUUGAACGCACACACAGACACACACACACGCACACACACACACACACAGACACACACACACACUCAGAGUCUGGUUUUUAGCACCUGCAAAAACAUGCUAUUUACAUAUUUGACAAGAAUGCAGAGGCUCCUUUUGCCCCUGAAAAAAAUCAAAUUUCAAACACAACUUGACUGGUCAUUUCUCCAAAAGACAACCAUGAAGCUCCAUCCAAACCUGAAGCAGGCAGUUGGUGCAUGUGUACAGUAACCUGAGGGGAGUGAGGUGAGUGCUUCUGAGGAGAACAUGAGCAGUGAAGAUUCACCUUGGAGCUAGAACAGAGACAUGCACAUGAUUAUACAGGGGCAGGGGCUCAAGUUUUUUCCAGUCGUUUAUACAAUAUGGAAAUUAAUGUGAAAUUAAAACACAAAGUAUUAAUAGAAAGGUAAUGACUGUCCUGUGUAGGUGACAGUGAUAUCCAAUAGGCUAGGCACUCACGAGGCUGGCUGUGGCAAGUGUAAGUGAAAGCAACACGCACUGGCAAGAAGAACAGCAAACGCCGAUGAAGGAAAAGGGUCUUUGCAGUGAUGGGCGUUACCAGAGAGGGCGAUGGCCAGAGGACACAAAUGGGACGGGGAGGCAGCACGUUGGGGGGGGGACGCGACAUGGCUCGGGCCCGCCAGUGCCCCAACGGGGUCCUAGUUAUUAUUUUUCUGCCCCUUUGAACUGGAAAAUGGCCCACUUCCCACUGGUGAAAAGUCAUGAAAUUUGGCAGGACGACCGGGCCUGGUGAAAAAUUCGAUAUUCUGAAGUCGCCCAAAAAAUCAAAUGCAAAAUGGCUCCAUAGCGCCCCCUAAGGUGAAAAAUUCACAUGAUUGAGUGUCACGCCUGUACGCUUUGUCAAAAUGACACAAAAUUUGACACACACGUGUAUCUCAAUAAGAUCUACAAAAAAGUCAGUGCGGGCGUAUCUGUCAAAUGUACGGUUAAAGGGCUAUUUCGCAUUUUUUGCCGAUCCGCACACAUUGGAAUUUCGCUAACUCCUCCGAAGGCUUUCGUUCCACCGGCACC